rnacentral:rRNA from 1 species
UGGGGAAUAUUGCACAAUGGAGGGAACUCUGAUGCAGCGACGCCGCGUGAACGAAGAAGGCUUUCGAGUCGUAAAGUUCUUUUAUAUGGGAAGAUAAUGACGGUACCAUAAGAAGAAGCCCCGGCUAACUACGUGCCAGCAGCCGCGGUAAUACGUAGGGGGCUAGCGUUGUCCGGAAUCACUGGGCGUAAAGGGUUCGCAGGCGGAAAUGCAAGUCAGGUGUAAAAGGCAGUAGCUUAACUACUGUAAGCAUUUGAAACUGCAUAUCUUGAGAAGAGUAGAGGUAAGUGGAAAUUUUAGUGUAGCGGUGAAAUGCGUAGAUAUUAAAAAGAAUACCGGUGGCGAAGGCGACUUACUGGGCUCAUUCUGACGCUGAGGAACGAAAGCGUGGGUAGCAAACAGG